ACAACGAAGAGUUUGAUCCUGGCUCAGGAUGAACGCUAGCGACAGGCUUAACACAUGCAAGUCGAGGGGCAGCACAGGUAGCAAUACCGGGUGGCGACCGGCGCACGGGUGAGUAACGCGUAUGCAACUUACCUAUCAGAGGGGGAUAACCCGGCGAAAGUCGGACUAAUACCGCAUGAAGCAGGGGCCCCGCAUGGGGAUAUUUGCUAAAGAUUCAUCGCUGAUAGAUAGGCAUGCGUUCCAUUAGGCAGUUGGCGGGGUAACGGCCCACCAAACCGACGAUGGAUAGGGGUUCUGAGAGGAAGGUCCCCCACAUUGGUACUGAGACACGGACCAAACUCCUACGGGAGGCAGCAGUGAGGAAUAUUGGUCAAUGGCCGAGAGGCUGAACCAGCCAAGUCGCGUGAGGGAUGAAGGUUCUAUGGAUCGUAAACCUCUUUUAUAAGGGAAUAAAGUGCGGGACGUGUCCCGUUUUGUAUGUACCUUAUGAAUAAGGAUCGGCUAACUCCGUGCCAGCAGCCGCGGUAAUACGGAGGAUCCGAGCGUUAUCCGGAUUUAUUGGGUUUAAAGGGUGCGUAGGCGGCCUUUUAAGUCAGCGGUGAAAGUCUGUGGCUCAACCAUAGAAUUGCCGUUGAAACUGGGGGGCUUGAGUAUGUUUGAGGCAGGCGGAAUGCGUGGUGUAGCGGUGAAAUGCAUAGAUAUCACGCAGAACCCCGAUUGCGAAGGCAGCCUGCCAAGCCAUUACUGACGCUGAUGCACGAAAGCGUGGGGAUCAAACAGGAUUAGAUACCCUGGUAGUCCACGCAGUAAACGAUGAUCACUAGCUGUUUGCGAUACACUGUAAGCGGCACAGCGAAAGCGUUAAGUGAUCCACCUGGGGAGUACGCCGGCAACGGUGAAACUCAAAGGAAUUGACGGGGGCCCGCACAAGCGGAGGAACAUGUGGUUUAAUUCGAUGAUACGCGAGGAACCUUACCCGGGUUUGAACGCAUUCGGACCGAGGUGGAAACACCUUUUCUAGCAAUAGCCGUUUGCGAGGUGCUGCAUGGUUGUCGUCAGCUCGUGCCGUGAGGUGUCGGCUUAAGUGCCAUAACGAGCGCAACCCUUGCCACUAGUUACUAACAGGUAAAGCUGAGGACUCUGGUGGGACUGCCAGCGUAAGCUGCGAGGAAGGCGGGGAUGACGUCAAAUCAGCACGGCCCUUACAUCCGGGGCGACACACGUGUUACAAUGGCGUGGACAAAGGGAAGCCACCUGGCGACAGGGAGCGAAUCCCCAAACCACGUCUCAGUUCGGAUCGGAGUCUGCAACCCGACUCCGUGAAGCUGGAUUCGCUAGUAAUCGCGCAUCAGCCAUGGCGCGGUGAAUACGUUCCCGGGCCUUGUACACACCGCCCGUCAAGCCAUGGGAGCCGGGGGUACCUGAAGUCCGUAACCGCGAGGAUCGGCCUAGGGUAAAACUGGUGACUGGGGCUAAGUCGUAACAAGGUAGCCGUACCGGAAGGUGCGGCUGGAACACCUCCUUU
rnacentral:rRNA from 1 species